rnacentral:lncRNA from 1 species
UUUUUAUUUUUACAGGGAUAUACAAAGGGGAGUUACAAUUGGAUAAAGACAAAAAAUGAAAAUUGGAAAAAAUCAUAAAUGAAAAAAAAAAAAAAAAAAAAAAAAAAAAAACAAUUCUGGAAUCCAGUUGAAAAUUGAUGAUGGUAUUUAGGAUGUUUGAGCGAGCACAGAGUGAUGCUGAUAAUUGCCUGUCUGAGAGGCCAUGUAGUCCCACAGUCUAGUCCCCAGACAUCACAGCCCAGCCCAGAGCACACUGCACACUUACUGGAUAGAUGACAGACAAAUAGAAAAUGGUAAUUUAUGUGUGAGGCUUUUUUUUUUUUUUUUCCUUUUUUUUUUUCAGAGAGUCGACAGGCCACCAAACCCCUCAGAGACCACAGAGAGUGAUACUGCUGCUCAGAAAUCACAGCAUAAUGUGCCGGAAAAGGGAUGAUACUCCAGGGUGUGAGGUCCAGAUUCUGCUCUCUAUGGGGAGGCCGGUGCAGUGAAAGAGGGAUGAAAGCAAACACAUGGGAAAAAAGCCGGCGCUGCUUGUUUUGAUGUGAAUGGAGCAGCAGCUUAAAGGAUCACACCAUUCAAAGCAGCUGUGAGGGUAGAGAGGACUUCCAGAGUGGAGGUCUACAGCAGAGCAGAAUCUGUGGUACACUAGAGCCCCCUGUAGGCCUGGAAAGGUAUUGUGGAAAGGUGGGAGCUCCGUUCGACAGUGAAAGUGUGUGGUUUCUCAUCCUUCCCGCAGCUGAGACCUGGUUCCUCUUCAGCACGCAUACACUCAGAUCCAGGCCUAAACUGAGGAGGAAAAGGGGAGGUGGAGUGUGGACGGUGUGUCAGAACGAUGACAGAUUGACGACAGAAUGAGUGAGAACAGAGGGUGGUGGAGGAACCCCUGAUAGAGGCAAGCCUCUGCCUAACAAUUAUUGUCGAGCAAAUUACCA